CUUCGGGGUACUCGAGCGGCGAACGGGUGAGUAACACGUGAGCAACCUGCCCCAGGCUUUGGGAUAACCCCGGGAAACCGGGGCUAAUACCGAAUAUGACCUUGCACCGCAUGGUGUUUGGUGGAAAGUUUUUCGGCUUGGGAUGGGCUCGCGGCCUAUCAGCUUGUUGGUGGGGUGAUGGCCUACCAAGGCGACGACGGGUAGCCGGCCUGAGAGGGCGACCGGCCACACUGGGACUGAGACACGGCCCAGACUCCUACGGGAGGCAGCAGUGGGGAAUAUUGCACAAUGGGCGGAAGCCUGAUGCAGCGACGCCGCGUGAGGGAUGACGGCCUUCGGGUUGUAAACCUCUUUCAGCAGGGACGAAGCGUAAGUGACGGUACCUGCAGAAGAAGCGCCGGCCAACUACGUGCCAGCAGCCGCGGUAAGACGUAGGGCGCGAGCGUUGUCCGGAUUUAUUGGGCGUAAAGAGCUCGUAGGCGGCUUGUCGCGUCGACUGUGAAAACCCGCAGCUCAACUGCGGGCCUGCAGUCGAUACGGGCAGGCUAGAGUUCGGUAGGGGAGACUGGAAUUCCUGGUGUAGCGGUGAAAUGCGCAGAUAUCAGGAGGAACACCGGUGGCGAAGGCGGGUCUCUGGGCCGAUACUGACGCUGAGGAGCGAAAGCGUGGGGAGCGAACAGGAUUAGAUACCCUGGUAGUCCACGCUGUAAACGUUGGGCGCUAGGUGUGGGGGGCCUCUCCGGUUCCCUGUGCCGCAGCUAACGCAUUAAGCGCCCCGCCUGGGGA
rnacentral:rRNA from 1 species